rnacentral:lncRNA from 1 species
CUCCUCUACCCGGACACUCCUGCUAAGAUGGAGACCACAUCACAAGAAGCUUUCUGCUUCAGACCCGUCUCACAACAUGACAGAGGCAAAGGAGACCAUAUUGCCCUGAACACACAGCAGGAGUCCCUCCGUUCUCAUCCCACAUCCUCGAGACAAACAGGAAGAGAAAACAGCAGCAGGGGCCGGAAACCAGGGGAGGACGAUCAAGAAGGCAACCAUGAUCAGACAGCAGGGACAAACGAACGAGAUACGACAAAGAUGCAGUCUCAGUAUCAGAAGGAUUUCCCUCCUCCGUCCUCCUGCUGCAGAAGGCGAACACCUGCCCUCCCACAGCCAGACAACAUCGGCAUCAACCCUGCCUUUAGGUGAGAGUGAGUUCAUCGAUAUCAGUCUAGCUGAAUGUAGAGAGCAGUUUAUCAGUAUCCGUGUGUUUUGGUUCACAGGAUCGACUUUAGCACAGUGCAAAGAGAGAAUUACCCUGGUUGGCCCAUCAUGAGUCCCAUGUGUGCAGGGAGGCUGAGAGCGGCCUCGUCCGGGAAACCAAACAUGAAAAAAUAAAUAAAAGAAUGUAAAAAAUAAAGUCAUGUUCAAAUUUUUUACCAAUUGCAGCAAAUGUCUAAUUCCAUCAAAUGGCUAUCGAUCCCUAUAAAUCCUAGCUUGUUAUAUUCAUAGUGCACACAGUAAUAAACAUGAUUUUAUAAACCAGUGUGGGCUUUUGGGUUAUGUGUGUCAGUCUUUGAAUCACUUCUACAUUCUUCUUAUAAAUAACACUAACAUUUUUGAUCUAACUCCUCAGUUUAGACAUAAGUGAAAUCGAAGUCAGAGGUGUUGAGUUCUCCUUCACUAACCACAUCCAGCACAUUGUGUGCCUGUCUGGAAAUAUAUACUUUCUUCAAAAUGUGCUAAGGUG